CUCCUACGGGAGGCAGCAGUGGGGAAUCUUGCGCAAUGGGGGGAACCCUGACGCAGCGACGCCGCGUGCGGGACGGAGGCCUUCGGGUCGUAAACCGCUUUCAGCAGGGAAGAGUCAAGACUGUACCUGCAGAAGAAGCCCCGGCUAACUACGUGCCAGCAGCCGCGGUAAUACGUAGGGCGCAAGCGUUAUCCGGAUUUAUUGGGCGUAAAGGGCUCGUAGGCGGCUCGUCGCGUCCGGUGUGAAAGUCCAUCGCUUAACGGUGGAUCUGCGCCGGGUACGGGCGGGCUGGAGUGCGGUAGGGGAGACUGGAAUUCCCGGUGUAACGGUGGAAUGUGUAGAUAUCGGGAAGAACACCGAUGGCGAAGGCAGGUCUCUGGGCCGUCACUGACGCUGAGGAGCGAAAGCGUGGGGAGCGNACAGGAUUAGAUACCCUGGUAGUACCACGCCGUAAACGGUGGACGCUGGAUGUGGGGCACGUUCCA
rnacentral:rRNA from 1 species